AUAAUAAUAUAUAUAAUAGGAGAAAUAUAUAUAAUAAUUUUUUAUAAAUAAUAUAAUAAUUAUUAUAUAUUAAUAAUAUAUAUAAUAAAAAAUAUAUUAAAUAGUUUUUUAUCUUUUUUUUUUCUUUCAACCAAAUGACCGUAAUGAAAAAUUAUUUUUCUUUUCCUACAAACCAAAUACUAAACAACGUUUUUUUUCCACCGAAUUUUUUUUUUCCACAGUUUUACGUGGAACCAAACACACCCUUAAGGCCCAUUUGUUUUGAUGUAAGUGGAGUGAUGGAACUCAAGUUCCAUCACUUCCGUUAUUUGUUUUGAUGUAAGUGAAAAAUAUAAUGUAACUCAAGUUACGUUAGACCUCCGCUUCACCUACUCUCGACUUCCUUAUCUAAAGUGCCGAACUCGACUCUCACUACACUCAACCUCCUCUAAAAAAUUUAUUAAACAGUAAAACCUAAACUCUACUUCCUUUAUAAUGGGUUAGAAUUACAUUAUUUAUAAUAAAUUAGGAUUAUCUUUAAAUAAUAAUAAAAAAAUUAAUUAUAUAAUAGAUUAAAUUUUAUAGUGGUAAAUUUACUACUAUAUUUAGGAGAUAAUGAGAUCCACUUACUUACAUCAAAACAAACAACGGAACUCAAAAAACUAAUUUUACCAGCACUAAGUUACAUCAAAACAAACAACAGAAGUGAUUGAAUUUAACUUUCAGGCGGUACAAGCUACGUCAAAACAAAUAACAAAAAAAUAAUCACACUUCAGGAAAACUCAAACACCACUACACUUGAUUUACGUUGAAUUUACAAAUACGUUAAUCCAAACGCCCCCUUAGUCGAAAUGUGUUGAAAAUUAGUUGACAAUGACAAUAUAAAGGGGA
rnacentral:lncRNA from 1 species